GACGAACGCUGGCGGCGUGCCUAAUACAUGCAAGUAGAACGCUGAAGGAGGAGCUUGCUUCUCUGGAUGAGUUGCGAACGGGUGAGUAACGCGUAGGUAACCUGCCUGGUAGCGGGGGAUAACUAUUGGAAACGAUAGCUAAUACCGCAUAAUAGCAGUUAUUGCAUGAUAACUGUUUGAAAGGUGCAAUUGCACCACUACCAGAUGGACCUGCGUUGUAUUAGCUAGUUGGUGGGGUAACGGCUCACCAAGGCGACGAUACAUAGCCGACCUGAGAGGGUGAUCAGCCACACUGGGACUGAGACACGGCCCAGACUCCUGCGGGAGGCAGCAGUAGGGAAUCUUCGGCAAUGGACGGAAGUCUGACCGAGCAAAGCCGCGUGAGUGAAGAAGGGUUUCGGAUCGUAAAGCUCGGUUGUAAGAGAAGAACGAGUGUGAGAGUGGAAAGUUCACACUGUGACGGUAUCUUACCAGAAAGGGACGGCUAACUACGUG
rnacentral:rRNA from 1 species